rnacentral:rRNA from 1 species
UACGGGGGGGGCGAGCGUUGUUCGGAAUCAUUGGGCGUAAAGGGUGCGUAGGUGGUGCUGUAAGUCUGACGUGAAAUCUCCGGGCUUAACUCGGAAUCCGCGCCAGGAACUGCAGUGCUGGAGUGUGGGAGAGGAGAGUGGAAUUCCCGGUGUAGCCGUGAAAUGCGUAGAUAUCGGGAGGAACACCCGUGGCGAAGGCGGCUCUCUGGACCAUAACUGACACUGAGGCACGAAAGCCGGGGGAGCAAACAGG